rnacentral:rRNA from 1 species
CCUACGGGAGGCAGCAGUGGGGAAUAUUGCACAAUGGGCGCAAGCCUGAUGCAGCCAUGCCGCGUGUGUGAAGAAGGCCUUCGGGUUGUAAAGCACUUUCAGCGAGGAGGAAGGGUUCAGUGUUAAUAGCACUGUGCAUUGACGUUACUCGCAGAAGAAGCACCGGCUAACUCCGUGCCAGCAGCCGCGGUAAUACGGAGGGUGCAAGCGUUAAUCGGAAUUACUGGGCGUAAAGCGCACGCAGGCGGUUUGUUAAGUCAGAUGUGAAAUCCCCGCGCUUAACGUGGGAACUGCAUUUGAAACUGGCAAGCUAGAGUCUUGUAGAGGGGGGUAGAAUUCCAGGUGUAGCGGUGAAAUGCGUAGAGAUCUGGAGGAAUACCGGUGGCGAAGGCGGCCCCCUGGACAAAGACUGACGCUCAGGUGCGAAAGCGUGGGGU